rnacentral:rRNA from 1 species
GUGCAGCAGGCGCGAAACCUCCGCAAUGCGGGAAACCGCGACGGGGGACCCCGAGUGCCGUGGCAACGCCACGGCUUUUCCGGAGUGUAAAAAGCUCCGGGAAUAAGGGCUGGGCAAGGCCGGUGGCAGCCGCCGCGGUAAUACCGGCGGCCCGAGUGGUGGCCGCUAUUAUUGGGCCUAAAGCGUCCGUAGCCGGGCCCGUAAGUCCCUGGCGAAAUCCCACGGCUCAACCGUGGGGCUUGCUGGGGAUACUGCGGGUCUUGGGACCGGGAGAGGCGGGGGGUACCCCUGGGGUAGGGGUGAAAUCCUAUAAUCCCAGGGGGACCGCCAGUGGCGAAGGCGCCCCGCUGGAACGGGUCCGACGGUGAGGGGCGAA